rnacentral:rRNA from 1 species
AAUCAACGCUGGCGGCGUGCCUAACACAUGCAAGUCGAACGCGAAAGCCCCUUCGGGGGCAAGUAGAGUGGCGUCCGGGUGAGUAACACGUGGGUAAUCUACCUCCGGGUGGGGAAUAACUCGCCGAAAGGCGGGCUAAUACCGCAUAAUGCAGCGGCACCGAAUGGUGAUUAGUUGUUAAAGCGGGGGACCUUAGGGCCUCGCGUCUGGAGAGGAGCCUGCGGCAGAUUAGCUUGUUGGAGGGUAAUGGCCUACCAAGGCUGCGAUCUGUAGCUGGUCUGAGAGGACGGCCAGCCUCACUGGCACUGACACACGGGCCAGACUCCUACGGGAGGCAGCAGUGGGGAAUUUUGGGCAAUGGGCGAAAGCCUGACCCAGCAACGCCGCGUGAAGGAGGAAAUCCUUCGGGAUGUAAACUUCACAAGCAAGGGAAGAGCGCGCAGGGUCGAAUAAACUCUGCGUCCGACGGUACCUUGCGUAAGCCACGGCUAACUACGUGCCAGCCGCCGCC